UACAGAGGUGGCAAGCGUUGUUCGGAAUUAUUGGGCGUAAAGGGCGCGUAGGCGGCCUUUCAAGUGACGGGUGAAAUCCCUCGGCUUAACCGAGGAACUGCCUGUCAGACUGGAAGGCUUGAGACCGGGAGAGGUGAGUGGAAUUCCCAGUGUAGCGGUGAAAUGCGUAGAUAUUGGGAGGAACACCAGUGGCGAAGGCGGCUCACUGGACCGGUACUGACGCUGAGGCGCGAAAGCGUGGGGAGCGAACAGG
rnacentral:rRNA from 1 species